rnacentral:rRNA from 1 species
AGAGUUUGAUUCUGGCUCAGGCCCCUUCAGCUGGCGGCGCACAUAAGACAUGCAAGUCGAACGACCUUAAUAUCUUGCUUGCAAGAUAAGCGGCUAGUGGCGGACUGGUGAGUAACACGUAAGAAAUCUGCCUAUCAGAGGGGAAUAACAGUGAGAAAUCAUUGCUAAUACCGCAUAUGCCAUAGGGUUCGCAUGAACCUAGUGGGAAAGGAGCAAUCCGCUGAUAGAUGAGCUUGCGUCUGAUUAGCUAGUUGGUGGGGUAAAGGCCUACCAAGGCAACGAUCAGUAGCCGGACUGAGAGGUUGAACGGCCACAUUGGGACUGAGAUACGGCCCAGACUCCUACGGGAGGCAGCAGUCGGGAAUAUUGCGCAAUGGAGGAAACUCUGACGCAGUGACGCCGCGUAUAGGAAGAAGGUUUUCGGAUUGUAAACUAUUGUCCACAGGGAAGAUAAAAGACUGUACCUGUGAGGAAAGCUCCGGCUAACUACGUGCCAGCAGCCGCGGUAAUACGUAAGGAGCAAGCGUUAUCCGGAAUUAUUGGGUGUAAAGGGUGCGUACACGGGAUAACAAGUUGGUUGUGAAACCCCUCGGCUUAACUGAGGAACUGCAACCAACACUAUUAUUCUUGAGUGCAGGAGAGGAAAGUGGAAUUCCUAGUGUACCGGUGAAAUGCGUACAUAUCACGAAGAAAACCGGUGGCCAAGGCGACUUUCUGGAAUGUAACUGACGUUGACGCACCAACGUGGGAGGAACAACCCGGAUUAAAUACUUUGGUACCCCCCACUGCCAACAAUGCAUACUAUGUGUAGGGGGUAUUAACCCUUCUGUGCCUUCCCCCACCCACUAAUUAUCCCCCCUGGGGAGACCCACCCUUAGGUUUUAAUCCCCAAAGG